rnacentral:lncRNA from 1 species
CAACUUAAUAGCUUGAAGUUCUUAGGGUCCAUUUUUUUUUCUUUUCUUUGAGCACUGAACCCAUCCAUUUUCUCAGAGGGAAGCUCAUCUCUUCUGUGCAUUGUCCAUCAGUCUGCUGUUAGUCCAGUUGCACAGCCAGGUGGCUUUGCAGAAAUCCCUGGAGCAGGUGGCUGUGUCAUCCAAGUUUCUCCCACGGUGCAGGAAGAAGAAUGAGGGCAAACCGAAAAAUAAUUGUUUCUUUUUGAAAAAUGUCCUACUUUUAUUUUAAGUUCAAGAGUACAUGUGCAGGAUGUGUAGGUUUGUCACAUAGGUAAGUGUGUGCCAUGGUGGUUUGCUGCACAGAUCAUCCUGUCACCCAGGUAUUAAGCCCAGCAUCCAUUAGAUAUUCCUGAUGUUCUCCCUCCUCCACUCCCACCCUCCGACAGGCCCCAUGUGUUGUUCCUUCACAUUUGUCCAUGUGUUCGCAUCAUUCAGCUCCCAAUUAUAAGUGAUAACACAUGAUAUUUGGUUUUCUGUUCCUGUGUUAGUUUGCUGAGGAUAAUGGCCUCCAGCUCCAUCCAUGUCCCUGCAAAGGACACGGUCAGUUUCUUGAAAAGUUAAACUUACAAGAUAAUCCAGAAAUUGCCCUCCUGGGAUUCUAUCCAAGAGAGACAAAAAUGUAUAUCCACACAAAGAAAUGUACGUAAUUGUUUAUAGCAGGAUUAUUCACAAUAGCCAAAAAGUUGAAACAAUUCAGUUGUUUAUCAGCUGGUGAACAGAUAAAAUGUGAUUUAUCCACAUAAUGGAAAACUAUUCAGCAAUUUAAGAAAAGCUACAAAUCCACACUACAACGUGGAUGACACUUGAAAAUGUAAUGCAGCCAGAUGCAAAAGAAUACACUUUGCAUAAUUUCAUUAUGUGAAAUGUCCAGAAAAGGCAAAUUUAUAGAGACAGAAAGUAGAUUAGUGGUUGCCUAGGGCUUGGGGUGGGAACAGGGAUUAACUGCAAGGAGGAAACAUUUUGAGGUGAUGGAAAUGUUUUCAAACUGAAUUUUGGUGAUGAUUGCAGAGUUCUAUAAAUUUACUAAGCAUCAUUGAAUUAUAUAGUUAUAAUGAGUGAAUUUUAU